GACAGAGGCCUCAAGCGUUAGGCGGAAUCACUGGGCUUAAAGCGUGUGUAGGCGGAUCGUUAAGUGUCUUGUGAAAUCCCACGGCUCACCCGUGGAACUGCUGGGCAUACUGGCGAUCUUGGGCCAACUAGGGGCAACUGGAACAAGCGGUGGAGCGGUGAAAUGCGUAGAUAUCUGCAGGAACACCCGUGGCGAAAGCGGCGCGCUGGACCACUACUGACGCUGAGGAACGAAAGCUAGGGGAGCAAACAGG
rnacentral:rRNA from 1 species